ACACCUGGCCGGGACAGAGCGAAUGCCAGUGAAUCCCAGGGCGCCCUCUCCCGCGCGUUGGUUCUCUAGCCCUCCUUCCCUGGGAGGGGUGGGAUUGGGAGUGUUCUGUUUUCAUUACUGCACCCCUUCCCCUAAAGACAACGGGACUGCCCUCCUCCACAGCGCCUUACCUCAAACAGGGGACCGAUCUUGUUCUUCUCCAGUUAAACAGCUUUAUAAGACAUGAUGAAAGCAGCCAUCCCCUAGUUCCUUCUUCACCCUGAUCUGUGAUCUCCAGAGGAAAUGAUGUUCAACUCAUUUUUUUCUGGUUGGACACCUAAUUUGCACAUCAGGACUGCCAUGGACCAUGGUGCAAUGAAGGUGAAGACUGGAGCACUCAUCACCCACGGGUCUCACUUUGUUGCCCAGGCUGGAGUAUAGUGCCCUGAUCACAGCUUGCUGCAACCUCAAGCUCCCAUGCUCAAGCAAGCUUCCUGCCUCAACUUCCCAAGUAGCUGAGACCACAGGCAUGCUCCAUGACACCUGAACUCCUGAACUCAAGCGAUCCUCCUGCCUCAGCCUUCCAAAGUGCUGGGAUUACAGGCAUGAGCCCCUGAACCCUGCCUACCCUCUGUUUCUAUGUGGUGUUUGUCUUUCUAAGCCUGGCCUAUUUCGUGUAACAUAAUUUCCUCCAGAUUUAUCCAUAUUGUCUCAAAUGACCAGAUUUCUUUCUUUUUUAAGGCUGAAUAGUAUUCCAUUGUACAUAUAUACUACAUUUUAUUUAUCCAUUCAUCUGUUGAUGGACACUUAGGUUGAUUCCAUAUCUUGGCUAUUGUGAAUAAGCUGCAAUGAACAUAGGAGUGCAGAUACUGCUUUGACAUAUUCAUUUCAUUUUCUUUGGAUAUGUAUCCAGAAGUGGAAUUGGGCUGGAAUAUAGGCAGUUCUAUUUUUAAUAUUUUGAGGAAACUCCAUAUUACUUUCCAUAAUAGCUGUGCUAAUUUACAUUCCCACCGCCAAUGUAUAAGGGCUUCCUUUUCUCCACAUCCUCUCCAACACUGGUUAUCUCUUGUCUUUUUGAUAUGUUUUCUCUUCUCUGUAAAGCUAUUGGUUGUAGCAUUUUACUUUUUCCAAAUUUUUUUAAUCAAACUUUUGAAAUGUAUAGCUGAAAUGAAAGAAUUUUAGCAUGAAUGCUAAUAUACACUCAGCACCUAUAUUCUUGCUUUUUCAUGUAUUUACUCCUGAAUUAAUAUAUUACUUGUUAUAUGCUUUUGAAAGUAAACUGCAAACAAGUGCAUGCUUCUCCUAGAUCUUUCCACAUGCUCUGCCAUUAAUUAGAGUUCAAUGUUCAAUUUUUUCCUUUUGAUGUACAAUUAAUACACAAUUAAUUUACACACACAUUUUACUUAGUUCUGAAAAAUGUAUAUACUUUUAUAACUCAAAGCCCAUCAUUAUACAACAUUACUAUCACCCUAGCAAAAUCUUUUGUGUCCCUUCUCAAUCACCAAUCCUGACCACACCCCAAGAAAACUACUGUUCAAAUUUUUCUCCAUCAUUGAUUGGCUUUGUCUGUUUUAGAACUUCAUAAAACUAAAAUACUGUAGUAAAUUAUGUACAAUUUUAUGACUAGCUUCCUUUGCUCAAUAUAAUGUUUUCGAGAUUUAUUCAUAUUGCUGCAUGUCAGUAGUUGGUUCUUUUUAUUGCUGCA
ensembl:lncRNA C8orf34-AS1 C8orf34 antisense RNA 1